rnacentral:rRNA from 1 species
UACGGGGGGGGCAAGCGUUGUUCGGAUUUACUGGGCGUAAAGGGCGCGUAGGCGGCCACCGCAAGUCGGUUGUGAAAUCUCUGGGCUUAACCCAGAAAGGUCAACCGAUACUGCGGGGCUAGAGUGCAGAAGGGGCAACUGGAAUUCUCGGUGUAGCGGUGAAAUGCGUAGAUAUCGUAAGGAAGACCAGUGGCGAAGGCGGGUCUCUGGACAGUUCCUGACGCUGAGGCACGAAGGCCAGGGGAGCAAACGGG